rnacentral:lncRNA from 1 species
AGCCUCACAUGCAGUGGAUGCAACUGGGCAGGUCUUAAAUUAUUGAUUCACUGUGAUGUGUUUUCACUGCUUGUAAAAUAAAGUGGAAGUACCUUCUUCCAGAGGGAAUGAAUCCACUGCUGUUUAUCUGCCCCUUCAGAAGUAUAAAGUACUAUACAAACAUGUUGCCAGAAUGGCAGGAGGAAAUUUGUGAUUGUGACUCCUUGAUUGCUGUGUAUUCUUGUCACUACCAUUUCAUAAUGGUUUGGAAUCAAGGUUAUUGAUAGGAUGGUCAGUGCCAGACUCCUUUGGCACAAAGCUCUCCAAGUCAGGGCCCUAUUAUCUUAUUUCCUCACAAUAUUUGCAGCUGUAGCAAGGAGACCUCUGUGGAGACUUUGAACUAGUAAAACAAACAAAAAACCAUGGUUUGUAAUUUAAUCCACACAGAUUAUUAUGUAUUAAAUAUUCAUGAAUAUGUAUAUGUUCUCCCAUACUUCAACCUACAGAAUUUUACUUAUUUGGCAUAAUUCUAUACUUCCGUGUAAUUUGAUCCUUACAGAACAUCUUUCUAUAUACUGAGCCAAGUUUUUUCUUUUUCAUUUUAUGAAUAUAAAGGAAUCCUACAUGAGCUGUAUUUUUUUUAAUUGUUUAGUCUUCUAUUGAGCAAUUCCCUUCCUGAUGAUUUGCUGAGAACGUGACAGAAAAAGAGAAGUUUCAGUCAGAUCUUCCAAAACAAGACAGAACACGCCCAGAGGCAGUGUUCCAGAGGGAGCUUACUUCAGUGAUUGUCCACCACGAUCUUCAGCUUGUUCAAAACUCACAUUGUGCCUUCCACUUCCAGAAAGUUAGACAUGGAAUAAUUUACAAAAGAAAGAUGAAGAGCAGAAAAGAUCUUGACACUGUCCAUGGAAAUGGAAAGACAAUGCUGCUUUGUCAAGCAAAGUUAAACCUUUCUGUUUGCCCUCCUCCAAGAAGGCAGCAGAUCUCCCUGGCUGAGGAAACCACCUGGAUGGACAUCAAUAGGUCUGCUGCCUUUGGCGUUGAAGAGCUAGACAUAUAGCAGUAAAUUCUGAGUGCUUUCUGAAGUCACCUUUGUAUUAAACGAGCUGGGCAAUAUGUGAGUUCCUUGUGGUUGUGUAGGUUCUUCACAGUCUAAUUACAAUGUCUAACACAAUUUGAAUACAGUGUUUUGACAAAAGUGAACAAUUGUGGCUGUAUUUGUGGUAUUUGAACAAUGGAUGGUAUUUGUAGCAGCGAAGCUAAGACAGGUUUAAAACCAAACCUGAUUUUAGAGCAACCUCUGUUCCGUUAAGAUAUAAAUGCUGUCCUUAAUGUGUUUGGUUUGGUUUUGGUUUUUUGUUUUCUUUUAAGUAACUGUUCCGGGUGUGUCAGGUAGAAUUCCUGCCAAUUAAUUUAAAAGAAUACAACCGCUACAUGCAAGCGAGGCGUACUUAACCUAAAACUGGAUGAUGCAACACCACAAUACUCUAAGGCAAGGGCCUGGAAAACGGGAAAGACAAGCGAAACCUCAUUUGUGUUGCCCUGCUAAGCUGCUGGAGCCAGG